AUACCUUGCUUCCCCCAAUUAUUGUUCGUUAACCAAAACACCAAACCAUUGUUCGACGCGCUCCCCUCCUGCACGCAACCUCCUCCUCCUCCUCCGGAUCCAGGAUCGCCCGCGCGCCCUCGGUGAGCUGCGUUCGUUUUGAUUUACCGGGAAAUUCUGUUUGCUUCAUGUUGCGCAGGCUCAGAUCUGAUUGCUGGAUUCGGCGUCUUUCGUCUUGAUGAAUCGAGCUUGGAGCGCGUGGAUCUGAUCCCGGGGGAUACACCAAACGCGCGCGCAUGACGCGUUGGAUCCGGCACCGGUUUCAGAUCCGGCGAAAUCGCGACGUUACCGGUGGUUCUGUCUGGAGCGGGUCUGUGGCGACGGUGGCUGAAGGAGGCGUCGGCGGUGGCGGGAUCUAUUGGUCUGCUCCACCUCGCGGGAUGAUUGUCUCUGCGCUGAUAAUUAUUGGAUGAAUUUCGAUAAUUAUUAGUAGAUCUAAGAGAUGUGGCCGCCUUGAAGAGGCGAGGUAAGAUGCAACAUGUAAGAGUCGAGUCAAGAGUCUCUGCGUGCGUCGGGGAAAAAAAGAGGAAAAAAAAGAUGUGAUGCUAGAGGCCUUUGCCAUGAUGGGUGCGCUCGCAUGGCAGGCCACGGUGAUAAUAAAAAAAAGAUGAUUAUUGUGUCCCGGGGGAGGAGAUCGCACGGGGGUUGAUUUUUUUGGCCCCGGGUUCUCCUCCCCCAUGGUGUUCCCUUGUCCUUGCGUCCGUUGCCUGCGUUCUCCGCUCAUCUACAGAACACGUCGGAUUUUUUUUGCAACUAAUACGGAGAUCUACAACGAAGCUACAGCGAGAAUCCCAAGGUACAAUCGUUAAUUAAGUUGAAACAAUCUUUUAAGUCGUUUCGUGUUCCUUCUAUUCCACACGAAGCCUAUGUUCUUAUUCUGCGCUUGCAUGUUCAAAAUAUGCUGAAACAACCAUGAAUAGCCAUCGAACUGAAGAUCCUAAAACACCCUACCAACAACUUCCACUCCAUCAACUUCCACUUUGCCCAGCUCAGUUGAAGUUAGUCUUCUAUAAUUGAAGACUGGCAUGAACUCAAAGAAGCACACGUUAUUAAUGAUUCAAUGAACUUCAGAAGUGUGUAAAAGUUUAGGUUGCAUCUGCAAAUUAUAUUUCUGCUGUUGAGCCUGAUAAUAUCAUUCGCGUAUUAUCUGUAAAACCCUUUUGUCUGAUGGCACUGCGUUUCUAUUUCAUUUGUAUAUUAUAUUUUCUGCAAUUUUUCUUGCCUAAUUGCUUUGGACUUCAUUAGAAAUUUAUCUGUAAGCAACUCUAUGUUCCUGUAUCUUAUCAUGUCUCGGAUUUUCGUUUGUAUUUAUCAUAUAUAUGUGGUCAAAUCGGAUAUUUGUUCUUUUUUGUAAGCCUGUUAGCGUGGUUUAUGUUCGUCAAGCCAUAGCAAUUGUUGGGCUUGUGUAGACUAGAUGGUCGCAAAAUUGCAGUAUGAUGGAUUCCAUUUCCAUAUUAUAAGAGUUUCUUGACCAUGGGGUGCCUCAAUCUUGGUUAUGCUGGAGGGCAGUGCUGAUGCAACUGAUGGGUUAUGGUGUGCUUAAAUCGUGGUUAUGCUAUGGAGCCGGUGGCUAUGCUGACGGAAUCGAUUGGUGAAGAUUUCGUUCCAAAUGGUCCAUCUUGCUGACGGUGGUUGUGACUGCCCAGGUGUUCCUUCUACUUGUACGUUGCUUUUUUGACGGCACUGCACAUGGACAGUUGGUCAUAAGUUUCUUUUUGAUGGCACUGUAUAUAUUGUUGUACAAUUUAUUUCUUGGCAGUUGCAGUAGAAGUUCGAGGGGUAUGAGAACACAAGUUUACCAGGAGACCAAUUUGUUUCAAAGUUUCUCAUUAUUAUAUUCAUUUGAUGGUUUGGAAA